UACAGAGGAUGCAAGCGUUAUCCGGAAUGAUUGGGCGUAAAGCGUCUGUAGGUGGCUUUUUAAGUCCGCCGUCAAAAUCCCAGGGCUCAACUCUGGACAGGCGGUGGAAACUACCAAGCUGGAGUACGGUAGGGGCAGAGGGAAUUUCCGGUGGAGCGGUGAAAUGCGUAGAGAUCGGAAAAGAACACCCAACGCGAAAGCACUCUGCUGGGCCACACUGACACUGAGAGACGAAAAGCUAGGGGG
rnacentral:rRNA from 1 species